GUGACAUUUGUUGUUUAUAGAUUUUUCGCCCACAGCAGAUGUCUCGACCCUGGACAGAUAACAGAAAUACACAUUGCCACUCAAUCUGUAUUCAUCUUGUGACUUCUCCUUGGAAGAAGGAGAGAGGGACCCUAGGCGGGACGUAAAGGAGUUGAUGAAAUCCUGUUAAGACAGACAAUCAGAUGGUAUGGCCUCUGAGGACCCCCAAGACCAACUGGAUGAGGCUAUUAAAAAGGCAGAACGCCUUGCUGAGGAGCUCAACCAAGAGAAGGACCCACAAGCCCAACUGGACGAGGCCAUUAAAGAGGCAAAAAGACUGGCUGAGGAGCUCAACCCAGAGAAGGACCCACAAGCCCAACUGGAUGAGGCUAUUAAAAAGGCAGAACGCCUUGCUGAGGAGCUCAACCAAGAGAAGGACCCACAAGCCCAACUGGACGAGGCCAUUAACGAGGCAAAAAGGCUGGGUGAGGAGCUCAACCCAGAGUGGGAAAAUAAGAAGAAAAAGACAAACAAGCCUCCAGGGAUUAGGUUCAGAUGGAGACAAAGGGAUGAGAGAGGACAGAUUGUACCUCAAACCAGGAAGGCAACUACAUCCACUUCUCUUGGGCCAGUACAUCAAGAGCCAGACUAGUGCAACAUUUUGGGCCAGUCACUGAGGAGGAAGAAUCAGAUUGUUUCUUACCAUUGGACGUACCAGAGGUGAUCUGUGGUUGCUUGACAAGCACCAUCCAUGUUGGRCCUGGGAAACAUAUAAUCCUCGUAGGAAUAAAUGGUCGCUACAAUGUCACAGUGCCUGUGCUGACCUGCACAACCUGUUUUAGCAGCUGGACAGCAAACUUGGCAGAUCUGAUAAAGAAUGGGUACUGGCCUGCCACUGUCAACUGUGACACCAUAUACCAGGUAGAUCUGUUCAGCUCUUUUGAGGAGCUGAAAGUGUCAGACCCAGGAAUGUCCUGUCUGGCGUUUAUGCUGAUUUUGGAGCAGCGAACUGACUUCUUUGGCAGGAACGGAAUGAUCUGUGGGGACACUUUUCAAAAAAGCUUCUUUGGGUGGACGUACUGCCGCUCUGAAAUUGAUCAGGUCUGUGAUAUACAUUGACUGCCCAGCCUGUUCCCCUGGCAUGCUUGCAGUGUCAGUGGAUGGGAACAAGAAGCUGUAUCGAUUAAAAAAAGGGACUGAUGACAAAGGAUUCUUUGAUGGCGUAUUUAUCUGCAAGGAUGAGGAUGUGUCUGACUGUGAACUAUGUCCAUACAAAGACUAAACAUAGUCGUCAAGGAAAACAAACAACAAACUUGAUGAAGAGGGACUCGAAGUUGCCGUCUGCCGCCACGGAAUACUUCUAAGGAGCCUCAACAUGAUGCGCGGAGAGAUAUUUGCUGUUCUUGCAGAAGGAAUUGUCUGGCAGCAGGAACAUACAUUUCAAUUUGGCCAUCCUGACCAAAGUUGCCCUUCAUUGUCCAGAGCUCGCCACUCUUCUAGACAUGAAGCCACUUCUUUCCGUCAUGCAUGCAAAGGCACAUCGUUUGAAAUGCGAGGUAAGUUUUUCUUUAUUAAACUGUUCAAAGAGAUUUUCCAGCUUCAGUCCUUUACAAGGCUUUCCAUUUAGAUGUUUGUUAUUCACAUAAUUUCAAUAUUAAGUCAAUAAUGUAAAUGUAAAUUAAGAUUAAGGGGGAGGAUGGAAUCAGGAAGGAGCUGGCACAACUCUGGGGGGGUAGCUGAACAAGGGAACAGCUUCAAUCUGUUCCAAGGAAAUGUCCAAAGGAGGUAAACAAUUUGUUUAAGGUUGUUCUAUUCAGCUAUGUUAAUACUUAUCUGGAAUAAGGAGUUCUAUUUGGUUUUUCUAGCAAGAACAGACAUGUUAACCAUCCAGGCCGCGGGGUGGAACAGAAGGAAGAACAACAACAUGCACAGAGUAUUGUCCAGAAGAUACUUGAAGACUACAGCAAAAUUCCAGGAGGAGACCCAGACUCUCGAAAACUUUAAGAGUGAUUUUGAGUGUAGGCGAUGAGACUCGGAAGUUCAGCAAUGGGCUAAUACAGAGGAAACAAAUGAGAACAUGGAUAUGUCCCCAGGUAGUACAGAGAACAAUUGUUCUCUGUACUACCUGGACAAAAGUCCUGUUUCUUAGCAUCAAACAAAGGAAACGGAACCUCUACCGUCAGACAGAUGGAUGCAAGAAAAGACACCUUCUGCACAGAAAGAUAUUGGAAGAAAAGGCCAAAUUGACAGCUGCCGUAGAGGAGUACAACACCCUUGUACCAGAUUCAGCAAUACCAUCUGCAGAUGAGAUCCUUUCCGCAGACCUUCAUGCAUGGCCUUGGGAGCUGCAUGGACAAACUGACCUACUCACAAAGAAAAUAGCCUUUGACCGGGUGAUGCUCCUGAGAUGGCUGAAGGAGGAGGAGUUAACUGUCCUAAAGGAAGUCAAGCAGCACUGGGAAAGCCUAAAGAGGGAAUCGGAGAAUGUGUAAGACCUUGCUUCACAUGUGACACUUGACCUAAGCAGGCAAAUUUGACAGAGUCCUGGUGUCUUCUGAGGCUGCUGACUCUCCUCUGAAGCAUGGAGAAGAGACCUCUGCUCCCAGCUUCCGACUGAUUCAAUUGCAAGCCUAACACCAAGAAGAUAACUUCAUAGAUGACCUCCUGGAAGAGGACCUAGAUGACAUCUAUUACAGGAUCCACUACAGCUCUGAUGACYAGGAAUCUAUCACAGACUGAAGGUGUUCGUUUGGGUGGUUGCAGUUUGCACUGGGUGAAAAGUGAUUCCAUUUGUUUUGCAUAUGUGCUUUAUCUGCCUUCCUAAGGAAAAAUAGGUUGAACAUUUUAUGGAAAAUAAACGUACGUUUCUUCCUUGUUGA